GAGGGUAUAGCUCAGUGGUGGAGUGUACGCUUUGUAUGCAUGAGGUCAUGGGUUCAAUCCCCUGUAUCUCCA
rnacentral:tRNA from 1 species